UUCACCGCCGCCGUCCCUCCUCCUUUUUCACUUUUCAAAGUCACCGCCACCGACUCUUUUCCCCUUUUCAAAGUUCGCUGGAUUUCAAACUCGAAAGUGGAUGUUUUUUUUUAAAAAACUAAUACGAGGUGAGGUUUUGGAUCUUGGUUGUUGUAAGGUGGGGUUUUAGAUGUUUGUGGUGGUGAGGUGGGAUUUCGAUUUGUUUCCUUGGUGGUGGUAAGUUGGGGUUUAGAUCUAAAUUAGUGGUGGUUUGUUGGGGUUUCGGUUUGUUGGAGGUGGUAAGGUGGUCAAUUGGUUGUGCGAGUUGGUUGGGUGGGUUCGUUGGGUGGUGGUGCGAGUUGAUUGGUGGCGGUGCGAGUUGGUUGGGUGGGUUUUGGGUGGUGGUGCGAGUUGAUUGGUGUGGGUUUUGGGUGAUGGUGCGAGCUGCUUAGUGGUGGUGAGAGGGUGGGUUACAAGGUGGGUGUUUGUGUUGUUACUUUCUCUCUCAUCCAAUUAAUCACAUGGCCUUUUUUUUUACUAAUUUUUGCUUAACAAAUUGUGUCUUGGGGACUGUGCAACCAAGUUUGCUGCAGAUUUUAUGAAAAGGGGUAGUGAUAAAAUAUUGUUAAAUUUACAAUUAUUUACAAGUUGUGUGCAAUUUGAGUAACUAAGAUUGUUACUCAAAUUGAGUAACGGGGGCUAGCCCUUAAACUUUUGCUGCUAUUAAAAUUAUUUUAUUGAUAUCUUAUAAUAUUUCUACUUGAAUUAUUUUUAUAAAAAAUUUUUAAGGGGAAGAGCACAUAUUUUAUUAAAAAAUUAUUUUAGUCGUGAUUUGUAAUUGGAUAGCCCUCAUUAAAACUUAUUUUUCCAAUUUAUCUUAGCAUCUCUUGUGUUUACUUUAUUUUUACUUAUUUCAAGUCUAAUAUUUUUUUUUUGAAAAGAUCAAGUCUAAUAAGUUCAGAUACGUUCAAUUCAAUUUAAAAAAAAAUGUAAUAAAGGUUAUCCAAGUUCAAUUACAACUAAAAUAAGUUUUAAUAAGUUCAGAUAAGUUUUUUUUUUAUAAAAAAAAGUUCAAAUAUGUUUAAAUAAGUAAAAAUCAGAUAAAUAAAACACAUCCUUAUUUAAACUCAACUAAACUUAUUAGAUUUGAAAUAAGUAAAAAUAAGGUAAUUAGAACAUACUCUUACACAUUUUUGUUUGUAAUUGUCUAAGUUGUAAUAUUUUGGUGCAAAUAAAAUCGCUUAUAUCAUUAACCGCUAACAUCUAUAAUAUUGUUAAAACCCAUGGAUUGCAUUAUAUUACAACACGUGGCAUCCUUAUGUCAACAUUACAUGGUGCACAUUAAUCUAUCUUAUAAAAAUUUAAGGCGUGACAUGGAGGUUAACAAUACUUAAGCUAUCUAAAAAAACCUUUUAUUUGUGAAACCUCUCUAUAAUACAGAGUAAUGUUUCAUUAACACAAAGUAUUGGGUGUGGCAAGCUGCAGCCAAUGUUUCGUCAUUCGAAAAGUAUCAUCGUCAUCUUCUUGCGGCGAUGAAUAACAAGUUUCCACAUGAUAAGAAGUUGGUGGUGGUUAUGGCGAAGGAGAGGACCAAGGUCAUCCAUGGCGGAAGAGAGAGAAAGUUUAACUACUUGAGAUUCUCGGAUUUUUCGAAAAAUGCCCAAAAAAUCGAACUGGGGCUUUCUUAUGUGAUGCAUAAUUGUUGAAAUUGAUUGUCCCAUAUAAUUGUAUGUUGAAUUGUGAGUAUUGAUGCAUGUUUUUUGGUUGAGAAAUGAACAAGUUAUGUUAUACCA